GAAGGAGCAGUUGGGAACUUCAGUAUUUAAAUAUCAGAAGGCAUACAGAAGAACUAGGGCAAUGGAUACUGAGGAAUUGUUGAAAUUCAGAGAUGUGUCUAUAGAAUUCUCUAUGGAUGAGUGGAACUGCCUGGACCCUGCUCAGCAGAAUUUGUAUCGGGAUGUCAUGUUAGAGACCUACAGACACCUGGUCUUCCUUGGGCUUGCUGUUUCUAAGCCAGAGCUCAUCACCUGUCUGGAGCAAAGGAAAGAACCUUGCAAAGUG